rnacentral:misc_RNA from 1 species
AAUCAUCAACCCCUUCCGCUUUUGCGGUGAGGGGUUGGAGCUGGGGGCCUGCUGCCGAGAGGUGGCUCCCCUCAAAUGCAUCGGUUUGGGGCCUGCGGGUCAAACUCGACUGGGCGUUGUACCAUCCUCGCUCCCGAGAGCCGCGCCUCUACCAAGACCGCCUGUGGAGCGGCGGUCAGCAUUGAUUUUGAA